GCCACCCCGCACGGUCCGAGAAACCAAAACCCCAUCCCCUCCUCUCUCUCUCUCUCUCUCUUGCUCGUAGCGUGUCGCAGCUUGGAAGGUCAUCCCCUUCUGCCCCAGGAACCCUAACCCUAGGUCGGUGAACUAACGAAACCCUAGCCCUAGAUGGAAGGAACCCCGAUUCGAUCGCCAUUCGUGGAGAGAUCUCCGGCCAUCCGAAGUUGACAUCCUGGGGGUGGAUUUGAGCAGGGAAGUAUCUGCUAGUAGGAGAUCAGCUGUUAUAUAACACAUCCAUUAUUUGUGGAAAAUUUGUGUUUAUAAGGUUUGUUUGGUGGAGUCUGGACUCUCUAUGCCUGGGAAUGAAUUUACUGAAGAGGUCCAUGACUUCGUUAAGGAAGACAAUACAUCCCAGCAUCACCGAUCUGAAAUUGGAAAUGGAAGUUGGUCGAAUUUCGAUAGCAAUUCAUGGGCUGGAAUUCAUAGCCAGAGUGGGAUACCCCUGAAUGUUAAUUCAAGAAAUUCCACUGCUCAGUCUAUAGAUUCUGAAAGAGCAAAUAUCAGGCUGUCUUCACAAUUGUCUUUGGGUGUGAAUAUCACUCAGACAAAUCCAAUUCCAGAUUUUGGUAACAGUCAACCUAGAAAGCAACAGUUAGAUUUGAAAGGAUUUAUGCAUGGCUCUCAUAUUCAAACAAGGCCCAAUCAGGCAGAGUUUAUAGGGGAUAAUUCCUUUUCUGAUAGAAAUAAUACUGCAUGUAGAGGCUUAGCUACUUUUAGUGCACAGCAGGGUAAUGCUCCUCAACACAGUUCUGGCCUUAUAAGAAAUUCAGAAACACCAGAGAUUGCCCAGGCUCCUGUUAAUUUUGACUAUAGUCAACAGCAGCUCAUUAGGAGCCGCGUCCUAGGAACAUUACAAUCUCAUUUAAAGCAGCAGCCAGGUUUUAACAACAUGCAGUUGUGGCAACAGCAAUUGAUGUACAAACAGAUACAAGAGCUUCAGAGACAGCAGCAACUUCAGCAGCUGGAUCAAGGUGAAAGGCAGCAGAAUCCACUUAGCCAGUUGUCUGCUGCUGUGAAGCCAGCAGCGACCAAUCAAUUUUCAGCUCUUGUUAACCAAAUGCCCGUCAAUGAUGCAUCUAAUUACACAUGGUCAAAUAAUUUUGUGGGAGGUGAGUCCAAAACGCCUAGCAAUUCUCAGAUGUUUGUUGCAGGUAACUUGAACUGGACACAACCCAGUGGCUCUCCUGCCGUGCAAAAUUUGACAAAUGGUAGGAUGUUUCCAAAUGACCAAGGCCAAGCAAUGCAGGCCAUGGGGUUUGUCCCACAAAAGCUUGAUCAGUCUCUGUAUGGUAUGCCAGUCUCCAGCAGCAGAGCGCAGAUGAAUCAAUAUUCUCAGUUCCAAGGGAUGCCUAGUGAUAGCACUGAUGUGAUGACUAAGACAGGUGGGAUCCAAGCAGAAAAGGUGUCAAUUCAUUCAGGUCCACCUAAUUCCUUUCAAAGUAGUCAAGGUAUUCCUGAACAAGCUUGUUUGCAGGAUAAUAUUUCAAUUUCUACACAGAACUUUCAGGAAAAACAUUUGUUUGGGAAUGCUUCAGUGCAGAGGGUAAGUAGUGGUGCUGCAUCGGGCAAUUUUCAGCAAGUGAAUCAUUUGCAGCGUGGUGUUCAGCUUCAGAAUUUUCAAGGUACUCAGGAGCAAGCUGAUUUGUCAGGUAACUUGCAGGAAAAACCAGCAGCACAAGUAGGGCUUUCUUCUGAUGAGGCUAGUCUAGAUCCAACAGAACAGAAACUCUUGUUUGGUACCGAGGAUGAUGACACUUGGGGAUUUUCUUUUGGAAGGAAUGUUAACUCUUGCACAGUUGACUACCUGCAUGGAAAUUCUUCAGACAAUGAUCAUUUUGGUGCAUUUCCAUCCAUCCAGAGUGGGAGUUGGAGUGCCCUUAUGCAGGAGGCAGUGCAAGUUUCCAGUAGUGAAAAGGGACUUCAGGAAGAAUGGAGUGGCUCGAGUUUCCACAAAACAGAACCCUCUACUGGAAACCAUUCAACUAUAUCUAAUGACAAUGGGAAGCUGCAAGCAACAUGGGAUGUCAAUAACCUGCAGAGCGCACCUUAUUUAUCGUCAAGACCUUUGCCUUUGCUUAACAAUGCUGAUGCAAGCACAAGCCAUUCUACCGUCCCUGGUUUGCAGCAUUCCUUUACAUCUGCAUAUGAACAAAAUGAUAGGGUAGUGGCUGAAGCUUCCUCCCAUGAGUCCUUUCAGCAGUCAACUAGAAAAACACAGGACAAGCAGUCUCUUCAUAAUCACAAUCAAAAGCAAUUUCUGGAGGGUGUCCCCCAUGCACAAAUGCACAUAAAUACUGGUGUUGGACCUGGGCAAACACUUGGGCAGCUGGAGAACAAUUCAUCUUAUGCAACAAUGGAGUCCAAGUCGCACAGUAUGCCUGGUGUUUGGACUCAGCAACAAAACAUGCCUUUGUUGAAUGCUACUAGCCAAUCAAGUAACAAGCCAAAUAGCUGGAACAUCACAGAUUCACUUGGUAAUGAUGACACUAAGUAUGGUCAAAGCAAUAAUGCAAAAAGAAUCAUGAAUGUCGAAAGGUGUUAUGAUGGCAGUAUGUGGAAGGUUGGUGGAAGUCAAGUGACUCCAAUGGGUGGACUGGAGCUAAUGAAAUCUGAUAUUGGUAGUCCCCAGAUGCAAAAUGACACUUCUUUCAUGGGCAGUGUGGCUGGUGGUAUGCAUUCAGGCACUUUGAGAUUGAAUCAGGAAAUGAAUCAGCAUCUAGUUAAUAGACAUCAGAUUGAUCGUGGAAAACAUGUUGCCCUUGAUUCCUUGGUAAAUUCUGCAAGUAAUGUAAAUGCAGAAGGAAACCUGUAUAAUAAAAGCAGCGGAUCACAACCGUGGGAAUCAACCAUAAAUAACACUGGAAAAGAAUUGGUUGAAACCUAUGAUAGCAAGCAUGAGCAUCCAAAUAUAGUUUCCAAUGAAGAAUAUAUGUCAAACAAUUCAAAUUUUGGGCAGCAUAGCGGUGGUGGAGGUGCUGCAAGAGAGAGCUCCUUGUUUACUGAAAAUGACACCACUGCUUUAGUUAGUGGCAGCCAAAAAUCAUUUAGUCACUCUGAUCAACGAACUCCCGGGUCCCACAGACUUCAAUAUCACCAAAUUGGAAGUGUGGGGAUCAAUAUCCAACCUUCUACCCUCCAGUUGCAGGCAUCAUAUCCUCAGGGUCUGCCUCAGUCAGUCAUCCGAGGAUCAAAUCAUGAGCAAAGAUAUAGUGGGUACUCACAGUUUGCUGGCCCAGUUGUUUCGAACAAUGUUAUUGGUAUGACAAAGGGAAACUUUGCUAAUUUACAGAAAAAUUCAAAAGGAGCAGAGGACGUACAAUCUAGAGGUACUGUACCUAGAUAUGACUCAACUGGGUCGAAUUCCUUUGGUGGAUUGGCUGCUCAGAAUUCCCAGAAUAAAGGAAUUGGACAAACAAGUCAGGAAAUGCUUGAGCUACUUAACAAGGUGGACCAGUCAAGGGACGGCAAAGCUAUUUCCAUAUCUGCUGUACCUGAAGCAGCUCCUUCCGAUAUCUCUGCUUCUCAUCCUCAAGUUAUUCAGUCUUCUGCCUCGCAAGGUUUUGGAUUAAGAUUGGCCCCACCAUCACAAUGGCAGCCAGUUUCAAACCAGCCGUCUCAGACUUCCUUACAUGAUUUUAGUAGUAGGCAACUUGACUAUGAGACAGGGACUAAGGAUCAAACAUGGUUAGCUUCUACAGCUUCAGUUCGACCUCUGCCUCAUGAAGCAUCUCAAAUAGAAAAUAGGGACACUAGGUGCAGUAUAUCUGGACAAACAUGCAUGGAAACAUCACCAUCGUAUAGUCCAGUUAACUCAUCGGCAGCAGCUGCUUCAGAUCUUUCUCAAACAGGAAUUCAGUUACAGCAGCAGCACCACCACCACCACAUGUCUGGAGCAUCUGGAAAUAACACAGUGGAGCAAUCUGCAAAUUUUUCUCUUGGCAGUCAAGCUAAUGUAAAUUCAUUUGCUAAAAAUGUUCCUCUCCUUAGACAGCCACGUGAAUCACAUGACAGAGCUAUGGCUGAUCAAUCUUUUCAGACAUCAGUGCCUAAGCUGGCUGGAAGAAUUCCAUCUUUCAGGCUUGCUUCCUCUGCUGAUACUCAUGCACCUGCUGCUUCAUCAUUUUAUUCAGCACAGACAGAUCAUUCCGGAUCAAUGGAUGCAGGCUUUUCUCGUCCUAGAAGUUCAGGCCAGCCAGUCCCUGUGGUAGAACCUGGGUCAGGGUCUCAACCUUCUACAUCAGGGAUGCAUCUGCAAAUUGGCCUCUCAAAAAUGUCGCAUAAUGUAUGGACAAAUGUACCAGCUCAACAUCUAGCUGGUGUCCAGCCUCACAAUCUUACUUCUGCUAUAUUUCACUCUAUGAGUUUAUCAAAUAACAACAGGAGUACUGGAUUGUGGGGUCUGCAGAAAGUGGAUGAUCAAAAACAUAAGGGAGAAAAUGCUCCAUCUGAGUCUGGUACAUGUUCUGUCAAAUCUCAACAAGCCGCCAAUGGAGAAGAACAUGCAGUCAUGGAUGGUUCUUUGCAACAAGUACCUUGCGAGAGCGUGGAUGUUGCUACUAAGACAGGCUCCAUAUCUCAACGACAAGAACCAACACAAAAGCAUAUGUUAGAAGGAAGUCCUGUCUCCAUUUCAUCUCUGGUCCGUCUGCAUCAGCAAGAUUCCAGCAAGGAAAAACAUGGGCAGGACUCAGCACAUAACUUACAGACAGUGUGUAUUCCUCCCACAAAUGCUGCCUCUUCUAGCAGUGAUGUUGGGUUAUAUGGGCGCACUUCAAAACUUUCUGAAGUUCAACAGCAAAAUUACUCAAAACUUUCUGAAGUUCAGCAGCAAAAUUACUCUCUAUUGCAUCAGAUGCAAACCAUGAAGGGUGCUGAUUCUGAUCCAAGCAAGAGGGUUGGGAAAAGGCUUAAAGGGGCAGAUUUUGGUUCAGAUGCUUUACAGAUGGACUGGAAAGCAGGUCAAGGCAUUGUUUGUGGACAGAAUACAGUCUAUGGGGUUCCUGCAGAUAAUGAAUUGGGUGCGGCUUCACACAGUUCAUUCUCAUCAGAUGUCAAAAUGCUAAGCUUUGCUUCAAGGGACAAUGAAGAGAGAAGUGCAAGCACAUGUUCCCAGCUCCCUGGUAGUGAAGUUGCUUCUCAGGAUAUACGCAUUGUGGGAUGUCAUGAUCUUCAAAAUCACAUUCACUCUCUUACUAAAUGUUCUACAUCAGAUUUAGUAGGAGGAAGUGAGCGCCUGCAGAUUAGUCCUCAGAUGGAUUCCUCCUGGUUUGAACAGUAUGGAACCUACAAAAAUGGUCAGAUUCUUGCUAUGUAUAAUGGCCAGAGGAGUGUGAAACCUGCCACACAGCAGUAUUAUUUUCCAAAAGUUUCUGGGAGUGUGGAUAGUGGUACUGUAGUAGCUCAAAGAAUGGAUACUAGUCAGGUUGGUGGUCUUGGGCAAAGCACAUUAGCUACAACUUUAGCUGCCAAUGAAUCUUCUCCUAGUUACUUGCCUUCUAAUGUCAUGGACCAUGAUAUUGUUCUAAGACUGAAGAAGCGUAAAAGUGCAACAUCAGAGCUUCUACCAUGGCAUAAAGAGGUCACAAAAGGUUCCCGAAGGCUGCAAACUAUCAGCAUGGCAGAGCUGCAUUGGGCUCAGGCUUCCAAUAGGUUAACUGAAAAGGUUGAGGAUGAAGCUGAAAUGUUAGAGGAUGGUUUGCCGGUGCAUCAACCAAGAAGAAGACUAAUCCUUACAACUCAGCUAAUGCAGCAGCUUUUUCCUGCUAUACCAGCUGCAAUUCUUAAAGCAGAGGCCCCUUCAGCUUAUGAAAGUGUGACAUACUGUGUUGCUAAAUCAGCACUAGGAGAUGCAUGCAGCUUGGUUGCUUGCUCAGGAUGUGGUUCUUGUUUGCAGUUAGACAAGGAAAAGAUGAUAUCUGAAAAACAUAAGACUUCGGAGAAAGUUGGAGACAGCACUUACUCAAAAGUUGUAGAGGGCUUUAUUGGAAGAUCGAAGAAGCUGGAAGGUGAAUUCUUAAGACUGGACAGGAUGACUUCAAUGUUAGAUGUACGGCUGGAGUGCCAGGAGUUAGAAAGGUUUUCUAUUGUCAACCGUUUAGGCAAGUUCCACAGUCGGAGUCACACAGAGGGGGUUGAGAGCUCAUCGACUUCUGAAAAUGCACCUCGCAGAACAUUUCCACAAAGAUAUGUUACUGCAAUUUCCAUGCCUGGAAAUCUUCCUGAGGGGGUCCUCUGUUUAUCACUCUAGAUCAUUAAUUGAUUGAUUUUUUUCUCUGACCCCUGCCCCAUGCUUUUCUACUCCCCAUUUAUCAUAUGCAUAGGCACAUACAUAAACAUGGAACAGGGGAGGAAGUAGUUACAUUCAAUAUAUAAUAUGAAGAAGCUGAGGCAACCUAUAGGGUUGCCCGCCUUUGACAUCAGUGCCUCUUGUGUUUUCUUUUACCCAAAGCAUAGGCCUCUGUAAAUUCAUGGAAUUUAGAAGGUUUGGUCUCGCUUCAUUUUCCAGUUGGAGAAGAGUCUAGCAUCAUUAUAUAUUUCUAGAAGAAUUCAUCAUAAUGACUAAGUUACAUUUCCCAGUGAUCAAUGUCAACAUCAACUAGUGUUUUGCAAUCUAGCCAUACAUGGGUAUUGGCAGGUAAUAGAUGGGUUGGAAGCAUUAUUUUCGGCAUUCCUUUCUUCCCGGGCCAUCUUUUGAUGCGCGUGUAACAUCGUUGGUUCAAAGUGCGAUCCUGUUUGGGUGCUACCUGCGGAAAAGAUUAUCUUAUGAGGAGGUUCUUGAAGUUUCAAAACCAGCUACCUUUUCAGGUCCAGCUUUUCAUGUGUUGCGGAAAAUGGGUUCGGAGAAAGGGGACUAUGGUGUUAGAGAGAACAAGUCGACUUCAGAAAAAAAAUUUUUUAAUGAUGCUAGAACAUAUUUUAGUGUUAAAUUUGCGUUUUAGUUUUCUUUACGUUUGAUGUCUUGAUGUUCAGUAAUCUGUUUGACCUGUUGAAAUACAUCCAUGUGACAUUCUGAUUUCUGGAUGGCACCUUCCUCUCAUAACGCAUGCAAAUUCUGUAAUAUUGCUUCCUGAUGUACCCAUACAUUUCAAUUUUUCUGAUAAAGAAGGAAAGCACGCUUUUCUUGUC